GUAUCAAAAGUAUACUUAUAAAAUGAAGCAAAGAUCUCUUCUAUCUCUUCAUUGAAAAAGACUGUCUAAUACAGGAAAUAAAUUUUGAAGAUUUGGUUAAACUCACCUAUGGAGUUAUGGUGCCAUGACUUGGUACAGAAUUAAAUUCAUCAUUGGACCCCUGGAACCUCUCCUCCAGGACCUCAAGUAUACACAUCUAAAGACUUUGUUUCACUCUUGACUGAUUAGGGAUCCAAUGGAAGCUGGGUAAUCAAGAAGCCCAUGUUCCACCUGCCAGCUUCAAGAUCUCACUACUUUUGCCAAUUCAGGAAUCAGAAAGUUGCAGCCUCAGUUGUUGGUGCCAAACUUUGUGUACCUGAUUCGCACCAUCAGGAUGAAGGCCUGCCUUCCCUCCUAUUUGACUCAGUUCUAAAUUCACUUUUCACGAAAAGUGAAAUAUUAGCCUGUCUUCAACCUUCAAAAAGAUGAGCCACAUUUUCUGACUUAUACAAGGUAUUUUAAAAAACUAAUUUUAGGGAUUGGCAGAUCUGUGUAAUCCUGGCUUGUUGAAAAGUAUAUGAAUAGAUUUCCACAUGAGCUUGGGAAAUAUGAAUAAAUAUAAUGUGUAAAACACUGUCAAACUCAGAUAUUUAUCUGUGUACUGCAGAAGUUUACUAUCUAUUUUUCUCUGCCUAAAUACAUGGCUAAUCAGUUAAUGCUAAUUAAAUGUUAUUAUUUCUGCAACAAAUUAUAAAAUAAAAUAAAAGUAAAGGAAGUGGGAAAUAUAGUGUAUUUUUCCAUGUAGCUGUGAAGAGAUAUGAAAUCUGUAGCAGGGCAUAAAUGUACAUGGUCAAUUCUCCUAAGUCAGUUUUGAAGCAUAUACCAUUAUGAAAGAAGAUGCUGGUUAUACAAUGUGAAACUGGGAGCCUGUAUUGCCAUCAGUAUGAGUUACGAUUCUGAAGGUCUAACUCUAGGUUAGCAAUCAGACGUAAAGGACUUUCCUCCUAGAUGUUUUAGAUCGCCCAGUCAAAUUUUAAGAAAAACCUCCAUGAUUCCUAACUUGAUACCCACUUUUCCUGUAUGCCCAUUAUUAAUAACAUAUAUCCAGUAUUUAAAAUUUAUAUUUAACAACAUAUUUUAUUUUUAUUGUCCUAGAACCAGAAUUGUGGGAUUUUAGGACUAGAAGAGACCUGACAGAUUAUCUGAUCCACUUGUUUCAUUUUGCAUAAAAGGGAAUUGUUUU